ensembl:snoRNA SNORA70 Small nucleolar RNA SNORA70
CUUCAGCCAGUUAAACUAACGACUCCUUUGCUACUGGGAUCCUAGUGUGCAAAGCUGCAAAACUCCUCAGAAGUGUAGGCAGCCUGUAGCUUGUGUAGGUCACCCUGAAGGACCAUGGAGACAGCC